rnacentral:lncRNA from 1 species
AUGCUCCUUUUUCUGCAAGACAACAGGAAUCGACAGAAAUCCUUGUCUCUUAAAGUACAACACCAAGCAAGGCCAAAUCAGCAGGAGGAGGCUAUUAGACUAUUUCACGGCAUGCUGGGGGAUGGCAUCAGCACUCUGAGUGGGGCAAAUGUUCCUAGGAAGGCAGAAAGAAAAACCUCGAUUUCAUGUUCAGCUAAUACAGCUAGGAAGUACCAAGCAGAACUCAUGGCUCCUUCUCACGGUCACGGAGAGAACAAGACAGCUCAACAACUGGGCAGGGCUCAGGUCUGGCCUUGCCAAAGAAGAGAUCUGCGUUCUGACUUGACAGAUCGGGGAGUUGGUGUCCAGGUUUCUCUUGCUCCUCAGUAACUGCUCUUACCAUAAGGUAACAUUCAGUCUGGGGCUCUUCCUCUAGCACAAUAAAUAUUUAUUAUUCUAUGCUGUGAGAAUUUCU